GGAUUAAUGGCAGAGUGGUCGAUUGCGGUGAACUUGAAAUUCACUUUAUGGAGACAUAACAGAGGUUCGAAUCCUCUUUAAUCCG